AAAAAAAUUGAUUUCCUGUCACUGAGUCUAGGACAGCAGAGAUACUCUUACACACCAUUCUUUGAUAUUGUGUAGCAUGAUUGUAAAACAGAAAUAUGAAUCAGAAGAUUGACUGGAAAAGAAUAAGGCAAUGGACGGUACAUAUGACCUCUCACACACCCAAGAGCCUGCAAUCUGCAUUUCCAAGAGACCACUGCAGAGAUUUCCACAGCACCUCUGCUUGUCUAAUGACAUGGGCACAAGAUUCCACCCUUAUUUCACAUUCAGCCAAUGCAGCUCUGCACAUGGAAAGAUCUUCAGAGACAGAAUUGCUUCUUGUCUACUACCACCAUCACUUCCAGAUGUAAAUUGGUAUAUGGCCAACUCCCUGAAGAGUCACCUUGACCCUGCCCUGAGUCCACUGUAACAGAAGAAUCCACCAUUCUACUCAACCCUGCCUCAAGCCAUUUCUAGAUAAACAUUGUAUGUGUCUGUCUGUAACGUCAGGAAAGCAAAGAAAGGUGAUCUGGUAUGAAUAGAGCAAAUUUUCACAGCCCGCCCUCCUUCCCCCCAUAAGCCUGCAUAGAAUCAACAAAUCCAAGGCAGACCAGGAAGAGAAAAG
rnacentral:lncRNA from 1 species